GACGAACGCUGGCGGCGUGCCUAAUACAUGCAAGUAGAACGCUGAAGGAGGAGCUUGCUUCUCUGGAUGAGUUGCGAACGGGUGAGUAACGCGUAGGUAACCUGCCUGGUAGCGGGGGAUAACUAUUGGAAACGAUAGCUAAUACCGCAUAAGAGUAGAUGUUGCAUGACAUUUGCUUAAAAGGUGCAAUUGCAUCACUACCAGAUGGACCUGCGUUGUAUUAGCUAGUUGGUGAGGUAACGGCUCACCAAGGCAACGAUACAUAGCCGACCUGAGAGGGUGAUCGGCCACACUGGGACUGAGACACGGCCCAGACUCCUACGGGAGGCAGCAGUAGGGAAUCUUCGGCAAUGGACGGAAGUCUGACCGAGCAACGCCGCGUGAGUGAAGAAGGUUUUCGGAUCGUAAAGCUCUGUUGUAAGAGAAGAACGAGUGUGAGAGUGGAAAGUUC
rnacentral:rRNA from 1 species